rnacentral:rRNA from 1 species
UUGGCGGACGGGUGAGUAACGCGUGGGUAACCUGCCUUACACAGGGGGAUAACACUUAGAAAUAGGUGCUAAAACCGCAUAAGCGCACAGCUUCGCAUGAAGCGGUGUGAAAAACUCCGGUGGUGUAAGAUGGACCCGCGUCUGAUUAGCUUGUUGGCGGGGUAACGGCCCACCAAGGCGACGAUCAGUAGCCGGCCUGAGAGGGCGGACGGCCACAUUGGGACUGAGACACGGCCCAGACUCCUACGGAAGGCAGCAG